GCCCCCUUGGCCUAAUGGUUAAGGCGCAAGACUUCUAAUCUUGAGAUUGCCAGUUCGAGUCUGGCAGGGGGCU
rnacentral:tRNA from 3 species